CUAGGAUUAGAUACCCUAUUAUUAUUGAUGUGAAUCGAGUUCUUGGUUAAUAUUAGUUAUGUUCUUAAAAACUAAAAAUUUUGGCGGUAUUUUAGUCCAUUCAGAGGAACCUGUCCUGUAAUCGAUGAUCCACGAUUUUACUUACUUUUUCUUUUAGUUUAUAUAUCGUCGUAGUUUGAAUAUCUUAUAAGGGUUUAAAUAUUCAAUAGUUUACUAGAAAGUAAAUCAGAUCAAGGUGUAGCUUAUGGGGGAGUAGAGAUGGGUUACAAUAAAUUUAUUUGAGAAUCGGUUUUUUAAAUUAACAGUGAAUUUGGAUUUGAGGGUAAUUUUAGUUAAAUAACUAAUAUGAUUUAGGCUCUAGAAUAUGUACAUAUCGCCCGUCGCU
rnacentral:rRNA from 1 species